UUCUUUUUUUCUUUCUCUACUGCGAAAGGCGAUUCAAUGUCUCCUCCAUCGUCUUCUCCACUAUCAUCUCCUCUCUGUUUCAAGCUUCUCUUUGGUCAAACAACAGGUCCGGUGAGCAAGCGUGCACUGCUUAUGUGAUGUUCAAAGGAUUCUUAUUCUCAAGAAACUGCAGUUUUACUCACUGUAUAGGACCGUGUACAACGAGAGGCAAGGUAUUGUAUUCAUCAGAGAGUGGACCAUUGUGCUGCGGUUGGAGAGGUCACGAGAGUGGAGCUUUGUGAAAGGUGUGUGUUUCGAUAAGGUGAGAGAGUAUUGUAGUAUUGUGUCUGUCUUGUAUUCACCAUUGUGCUGCUGUUGGAGAGGUCACGAGAGCUGUUGUUGUUGUCUUGUAGUCUUGAUGUUGUUGUAGUCUUGUAGUCAUGUGUCUGUCUUGUAUUCAGGAGAUAGAGGUCAGGUGUUGUAGUCUUGUGUCUGUAUGUAUUCACGAGAAAUGUUGCUGUUGUUGUAGUCUUGUGUCACGAGGUCAUGUAUUUGUUGUUGUUGUUAUAUAUCUGAAACACACUCAUCUUUAUAUGUGUCA